rnacentral:lncRNA from 1 species
AACCCUUGCAAUGACUCUGGCUCCACUCAACAAAGCUCAUCCCAAUUCUCUUUGUGAUUCACCAUCCCCCUUGGCCUCUUUGAAGAUGGCUUAGACUCUGGGACCCAUCCUUACUGAUUUUUUUUAGUUCUGAUUUUUCUCGACCAUGAUCCCAUGCCCAUUGGAGAGUCCUUUUAGAAUAUACCACGACAUUUGAAUUAUGAUAAACUCUCUACUGAAAAAUAUGAUGAGGAAGACUAGCUCCAUCCCAAUUUUGGUCAACUCGCUCAUUGGUUGUGGAAACAUGGUCUGUGUAUUAUGGACAUUUCAAAUAAAUCUAAGAAAGGAAAUGUGCUAUCAGACCAAUAAAGUUAGUCGGGGAGUUGAAGAACCACAUAUUCAUAGUCAAUUUUGAUAGCUCCUCCUUGUCAUAGAUGGGGCAAAAAAGUCCUCAUAAUUGUGCUCUUUUGGAAUGAUUGAGACCUUUUCUCUAGAGAAGAGCCCUUGUCAAAUCCCUUACGGAGACCAACACCACCUCUGCAAUCUACGAAGACCAACACCACCUCUGCAAUCCUUCAAGUGUCUGAAAGAAGCAAUGUGAAUAGUGUCUUAUGGAAAGCGUUAUGGAAUUAUAGGCAGAUCGAUUGAGCUGCUUUAGAUGCUUGGAGAAGAAUCAAUGUUAUCCUCAUUCUGUGGAACGAUUCAACCAUGAAGGUUAUAAGAGUCAAUGAAGGUACACCUACUCUUACUCUCGAUCUUGCUCUCCUUGAUGAUUUUGUGUUCUGGUUAGGAGGGUAUAUAGGCUCUUACAAGUUGCCGACGGAGCAAAAUUAUGGACAGAUCCCUAUGAUCUCUCCAUUUAUGUUUGGAUCAUUGAACUUUGGGAGGUGACUUUUCUUAAAUCACUUAUUAACCCAAAAACUUAAGUUGAUGGUGAUGACAAAUGUAUUAUAAAAUUUCACUCCCUCACACUUGGAGGCUUGAAAUAUGAAGAAGACCUAAUAAGUGGAAGUGAAUAUUAAUUGGGAAGAAAACAACAAUGUAGGGAUUUGAACAGAGGACCUCUUGAACGAAACCAUUUUGAUACUAUUUUAAAUCACCGAUUGACCAAAAAGAUUAAGUUGAUGGGUAAAGGAAAAUAUACUAUAAUAUAAUAUAUCACAACUCAGUUUUGAAGAGCUUAGAUAUGUUGUAGUUGUUCAAUUUUGUAAAUUUGAAACUAAAUCAAAAAAUGUACUGGAGGAGAAGAAAAGAGAAAAUGAAAGGAGAAUGAGAAGCUACGAGGUGAAGAA